GCAUGGAGCUCCUGAGAGAACCAUGCAUGAGGCUGUGAAGGUGGAUCCUAAGUUUCUGUGGAGACUCAGAAUUUGGGAGAUGCCAGGAAGAUGAGAUGUAUCCUGAGGAAAGGGCAGAUAUCAAGUGGAGCUAUCCCAAAAAGGAAAGAACAUGCUACAGGAAACCGAAUCAAGCAGCUCAUCUUCUUGAUGAAGAGCAUGCUUGUAUGUGUUCAGCCCUGGUGAUGGAGAGCAUGCUUAUACGUGUUCAGUGCUGGUGAUAAAGCAUCCUUCUACGGAGAGCAUGAUUGUACGUGUUCAGCGUUGGU
rnacentral:lncRNA from 1 species